rnacentral:rRNA from 1 species
UCACGAGGGCUUCACUGUCUCCUCCCUUAAAUCAGUGAAACUGAUCUCCCCGUGAAGAAGCGGGGAUAUAACUAUAAGACGAGAAGACCCCAUGGAGCUUUAAACUCAAUACACACCCACAGAUAUCUAAAUCAAUUUAAUCUAAAAAAUUGUGUGCUAGUUUUGGGCUGGGGGGGCCGCGGAGUAUAACCUAACCUCCACGACAAACAGGUUAAUACCUUUAUCCACGAGCUACGCCUCUAAGAAUUAAUAAACUAAUGUUCCAUGACCCAUUUUAUGAUCAACGAACCAAGUUACCCUGGGGAUAACAGCGCAAUCUACUUCGAGAGCUCAUAUCGACAAGUAGGUUUACGACCUCGAUGUUGGAUCAGGAAAUCCUAGUGGUGCAGCCGCUACUAAAGGUUCGUUUGUUCAACGAUUAAAAUCCUACGUGAUCUGAGUUCAGACCGGAG